rnacentral:ncRNA from 2 species
CUCUUAUCAAGAGAGGUGGAGGGUAUUACGGCCCGAUGAAGCCCGGCAACCAACGCAAUCAAAAACCAAUAUGCGUAUGGUGCCAAUUCCGGCGCUGCCAGUCCUGGCAAGCGCAAGAUAAGGG